rnacentral:lncRNA from 1 species
GGCCUGCUUGGUUGUAUCUUGUCAAUGGUUUCUUUCCAGCCCAGUCUCAUGAAUGUACGUACCUUGGACUCCUGCUUUUGCCAUGCCUCUGGCACUACCUGUUUUUUCUCCUAUGUGUGUUCCUUGGAUAGCUCAUGAACUCCAUGACUGGAGCUGUGGAGUUACUUAGCACCCAGCUUGCUUUCUCUUAUGGACGGCCUGACUCUUGUUGCUCCUUUGACGUAAGGGCAGAGCUGCCUACACUAGAGGAAUUUCCAUCAAGGAGAGAGCAAGGAAUAAAGACCAUCCUUGCUGUCUGCAGUGAAGAAGAGAUGUAUUCAGUAGUAUUCAUCCCAGAAGAUGAACAGAAGGAAAUCAUGGAACUACGUGUGGCUUUCUCACCUCUCAGGGGACUCCACCAGGGAAUGAUCUGUCUCACAGACUUGAAUCCUCACAGUUUUCCCUGGUUUCCUGAAGAUGCAGUGUUUGCAGCAGUGUUUUGGAGUUAGGAAAUAACAGGUUGAACGCACCUGCACUAUGUGUAAGCCAAAAUAGAAUAUUUCUAUACA